UGCCAGCAGCCGCGGUAAGACAGAGGUCCCGAGCGUUGUUCGGAUUCAUUGGGCGUAAAGGGUGUGUAGGAGGUCGGGUAAGUCAGGUGUGAAAUCUCGCAGCUUAACUGCGAAACUGCGCUUGAUACUGCUCGGCUAGAGGAUCGGAGGGGGUAACGGAAUUUAUGGUGUAGCAGUGAAAUGCGUAGAUAUCAUAAGGAACACCGGUGGCGAAGGCGGUUACCUGGAAGAUUCCUGACUCUGAAACACGAAAGCCAGGGGAGCAAACGGGAUUAGAUACCCCGGUAGUCCUGGCCGUAAACGGUGUGCAUUGGGCGUAGGCGGAUUCGACCCCGUCUGUGUCGUAGAUAACUCAUUAAAUGCACCGCCUGGGAAGUACGGUCGCAAGAUUAAAACUCAAAGGAAUUGACGGGGGCC
rnacentral:rRNA from 1 species